rnacentral:rRNA from 1 species
GAGUUUGAUCGUGGCUCAGAUUGAACGCUGGCGGCAUGCCUUACACAUGCAAGUCGAACGGCAGCAUGAUCUAGCUUGCUAGAUUGAUGGCGAGUGGCGAACGGGUGAGUAAUACAUCGGAACGUGCCCUGUAGUGGGGGAUAACUAGUCGAAAGAUUAGCUAAUACCGCAUACGACCUGAGGGUGAAAGUGGGGGACCGCAAGGCCUCAUGCUAUAGGAGCGGCCGAUGUCUGAUUAGCUAGUUGGUGGGGUAAAGGCCCACCAAGGCGACGAUCAGUAGCUGGUCUGAGAGGACGAUCAGCCACACUGGGACUGAGACACGGCCCAGACUCCUACGGGAGGCAGCAGUGGGGAAUUUGGACAAUGGGCGAAAGCCUGAUCCAGCAGUGCCGCGUGUGUGAAGAAGGCCUCGGUU